UACGUAGGGUGCGAGCGUUAAUCGGAAUUACUGGGCGUAAAGCGUGCGCAGGCGGUCGUGCAAGUCGCGUGUGAAAGCCCCCGGCUCAACUGGGGAGGGUCACGCGAUACUGCUCGACUUGAAGGCAGGAGAGGGAAGUGGAAUUCCCGGUGUAGUGGUGAAAUGCGUAGAUAUCGGGAGGAACACCAGUGGCGAAGGCGACUUCCUGGCCUGUUCUUGACGCUGAGGCGCGAAAGCUAGGGUAGCAAACGGG
rnacentral:rRNA from 1 species